UACGUAGGGGGCAAGCGUUAUCCGGAUUUACUGGGCGUAAAGGGAGCGUAGACGGUACUGCAAGUCUGAAGUGAAACCCGCGGGCUCAACCUGCGGCAUGCUUUGGAAACUGUGGUACUGGAGUGUCGGAGAGGUAAGCGGAAUUCCCAGUGUAGCGGUGAAAUGCGUAGAUAUUGGGAAGAACACCUGGGGCGAAGGCGGCUUACUGGACGAUUACUGACGUUGAGGCUCGAAGGCGUGGGGAGCAAACAGG
rnacentral:rRNA from 1 species